rnacentral:lncRNA from 1 species
UCGGGCCUCCUCAUCUCAAGGGCACCCCUGGUUCUCCUCCUAACAUGCUCCCUCCCUGGGGUCCACUCACCCCCAGGAUGCGCCCCACCCCCACCCCCCAUCUAGAAAGGUCCUCAGCAUCGUGCUCACCCCACUCCAUACUUUCCCGGAGUGAGGGCUUCAUCCUUUGAGGGAUCCCAGAGAUGCCCACAACACCGUGUGCACAGUGACGAGGGGGACAGCGCGUCUGCUGGGGCCUCUCCCCACCUGUCACCUUCUCUCUUCUGAACUUCAGCUUCUCUCUCUCUUCGGGAAGCUCUUGCCCAAUUUUCUCCCACUUCCACAAAGGCACACAUCUGUGGGCCACAAGCCUUGUCCCCGCCAGCUUCCUCAGGGCUUCUCUCCUCUCCAAACCCUGAAAACCUUUGGAUUGGAAAUGUGCUGCCUGCAGCUCCUUUUUCGUGGAAUUCUCUUCCCCACAGACAUCCCUUAGCUCUUUCCCCUGCUUCACUCAAUCCCCGCACUGGAGACACUUUAUCCAACCGUGCGUCUACAGCCGAUAUUCAAACUUGAUUCAGACUCCAAAGUCAAAAAGGAGAGACCAAACCAAGGCAGUGGGCCAUUCCUUUUCUGCCUUCCCCAGCUGUCUUUUUUUGUCUGUUAGAUUGUUUUAUUUUCCAGCAAAUAUCCUCCCCAGGCUGGGGGUGUGGGUCAGUGGCAGAGUGUUUGCCUAGCAUGCACUGUGCCCUGGGUUUGAGCCCCAGCACUAUAGAUGAUGAUGUCGAUGAUGAUGAUGAUCCGUCCUCCCCUUCCUCUUCCACAGCGCUGGGCCUGGGCACACGGGUCACGGCAGCUGCAGGAGCAUGAGCGUGUGCAAGGCAAGAGGAAAAGCAAAAGCUUCCUGUGCCAUCGCACGACUGGGCUCAGAAAGUGGCAAGAGCGUUGGGAUAAGUGUGCUCCAGACAAGGUCUGUGGGCCAAUAAGUAUCCACUGAUGUAAGAAUUCCUGCAACUAAGAUCCAGAAGUUCUGCAACAGAGUUGGGAAACCAAUUGAGAAUCCAUCAUGUGGGCUAAGCCUCUGGCUUCAGGACAAGACACUACCACAAUGUGAUGUUUCCAGGAGAGGCAAACAAAAUAAAUCUUACUCACUAAGCUACAUGCAUAAGAGUUCCUUAAUCCACCCAACGGUCACCUUGGAAAAUGACAAGCAGAUAGCAAAGAAAUAGACCAGAAA